UGAGUAACGCGUGGGUAACCUGCCCUUAAGUCUGGAAUACCAUUUGGAAACAGAUGCUAAUACCGGAUAAAAGCUACUUUCGCAUGAAAGAAGUUUAAAAGGCGGCGUAAGCUGUCGCUAAAGGAUGGACCUGCGAUGCAUUAGCUAGUUGGUAAGGUAACGGCUUACCAAGGCGAUGAUGCAUAGCCGAGUUGAGAGACUGAUCGGCCACAUUGGGACUGAGACACGGCCCAAACUCCUACGGGAGGUAGCAGCC
rnacentral:rRNA from 1 species